rnacentral:rRNA from 1 species
UACGUAGGGCGCAAGCGUUAUCCGGAAUUAUUGGGCGUAAAGAGCUCGUAGGCGGUCUGUCGCGUCGGCUGUGAAAACCCGGGGCUCAACCCCGGGCCUGCAGUCGAUACGGGCAGACUAGAGUGCGGUAGGGGAGACUGGAAUUCCUGGUGUAGCGGUGAAAUGCGCAGAUAUCAGGAGGAACACCGGUGGCGAAGGCGGGUCUCUGGGCAACAACUGACGCUGAGGAGCGGAAGCGUGGGGAGCGAACAGG